rnacentral:rRNA from 1 species
CUAACACAUGCAAGUCGAACGGACAAUUAUUUAUAGCCUCUGGCUAUAGGAAAUUGUUAGUGGCAGACGGGUGAGUAAUGCGUAGGAAUCUACCUAGUAGUACGGAAUAGCCAUUAGAAAUGGUGGGUAAUACUGUAUAAUCCCCGAGGGGGAAAGAUUUAUCGCUAUUAGAUGAGCCUACGUUAGAUUAGCUAGUUGGUGAGGUAAUGGCUUACCAAGGCUAUGAUCUAUAGCUGGUCUGAGAGGACGAUCAGCCACACUGGAACUGAGAUACGGUCCAGACUCCUACGGGAGGCAGCAGUGGGGAAUAUUGGACAAUGGGCGAAAGCCUGAUCCAGCUAUGCCGCGUGAGUGAAGAAGGCCUUCGGGUUGUAAAACUCUUUCAAUAGGGAAGAUAAUGACGGUACCUAUAGAAGAAGUCCCGGCAAACUCUGUGC